rnacentral:rRNA from 1 species
UAGGGAAUCUUCCGCAAUGGGCGAAAGCCUGACGGAGCAACGCCGCGUGAGUGAUGAAGGUCUUCGGAUCGUAAAACUCUGUUAUUAGGGAAGAACAAAUGUGUAAGUAACUAUGCACGUCUUGACGGCACCUAAUCAGAAAGCCACGGCUAACUACGUGCCAGCAGCCGCGGUAAUACGUAGGUGGCAAGCGUUAUCCGGAAUUAUUGGGCGUAAAGCGCGCGUAGGCGGUUUUUUAAGUCUGAUGUGAAAGCCCACGGCUCAACCGUGGAGGGUCAUUGGAAACUGGAAAACUUGAGUGCAGAAGAGGAAAGUGGAAUUCCAUGUGUAGCGGUGAAAUGCGCAGAGAUAUGGAGGAACACCAGUGGCGAAGGCGACUUUCUGGUCUGUAACUGACGCUGAUGUGCGAAAGCGUGGGUAGCAAACAGG